AAGGGUCACAUGGUGAGCAAGCAGGUGGAGCUGGAACUCUGGACCCACGGUGAUGUCCCCCUCUGUGUCCUCCUUACUGCAGGCUGGCUGAAGGCGGUGCAGGUCCUCAUGGUGCUCUCCCUCAUUCUCUGCUGUCUCUCCUUCAUCCUGUUUAUGUUCCAGCUCUACACCAUGCGACGAGGAGGUCUCUUCUAUGCCACCGGCCUCUGCCAGCUUUGCACCAGCGUGGCGGUGUUUACUGGCGCCUUGAUCUAUGCCAUUCACGCCGAGGAGAUCCUGGCGAAGCACCCGCGAGGGGGCAGCUUCGGAUACUGCUUCGCCCUGGCCUGGGUGGCCUUCCCCCUCGCCCUGGUCAGCGGCAUCAUCUACAUCCACCUACGGAAGCGGGAGUGAGCGCCCCGCCUCG
rnacentral:sRNA from 1 species